rnacentral:rRNA from 1 species
UACAGAGGGUGCAAGCGUUGUUCGGAAUUAUUGGGCGUAAAGCGCGUGUAGGCGGCUUAUUAAGUCAGGUGUGAAAGCUCUCGGCUCAACCGAGAAAGUGCGCCUGAAACUGAUGAGCUUGAGUGCCGGAGAGGAUGGCGGAAUUCCCCAAGUAGAGGUGAAAUUCGUAGAUAUGGGGAGGAACACCGGUGGCGAAGGCGGCCAUCUGGACGGUAACUGACGCUGAGACGCGAAAGCGUGGGUAGCAAACAGG